rnacentral:misc_RNA from 1 species
AAUCCUUCUGGUAUCUUGAGUUCCUCAUUGAGGUCAGGGUCUUUGACAAUUAUCAAGUGGAAUCGAGAGAAUAUCGGUCUCCAUUCAUUCAUGAAUGAUGUCAGGUCUGAGUUGAGUGCCCCUAUUACAAUAUCAACAUCACUGUCCUUGAUGUUAACUACAGACAUCUUCCCAAACUAUAAGAAGAAAUAAUUCAAAUCCAAGAAUUUGUUUUGCCUCCGAAAAGGAUGUUUCUGUUUUUAGCCCAAAAUGCAAUUGAAUAGGCUCUCUCAGAACACCUGGUAGGAAGGACAAGAGUGAGAACAUGCUGGAUAUUAAGCACCUGGAUAACUGAAAGGAUUUCAUCUUUGCCAGUUGCCAUGGACAGAUUCUGAAUUUCUUGUUCAGCUUUCCAGCUUUAAAAGUUCUCGCGAAGAGAUCGACGAUAAUGUGAUCAGCGAAGGAGGACAGAUCGUAUAAGUGGCAGAGUUGAAG